rnacentral:rRNA from 1 species
UACGUAGGGUGCAAGCGUUGUCCGGAAUUAUUGGGCGUAAAGAGCUUGUAGGCGGUUUGUCGCGUCUGCUGUGAAAUUUCGGGGCUCAACCCCGAACUUGCAGUGGGUACGGCAGACUAGAGUGUGGUAGGGGAGACUGGAAUUCCUGGUGUAGCGGUGAAAUGCGCAGAUAUCAGGAGGAACACCGGUGGCGAAGGCGGGUCUCUGGGCCGAUACUGACGCUGAGGAGCGAAAGCGUGGGGAGCGAACAG